rnacentral:misc_RNA from 1 species
GAUGAAGAACGUAGCGAAAUGCGAUAAGUAAUGUGAAUUGCAGAAUUCAGUGAAUCAUCGAAUCUUUGAACGCACAUUGCGCCCCUUGGUAUUCCGAGGGGCAUGCCUGUUCGAGCGUCAUUAUAACCCCUCAAGCUCAGCUUGGUGUUGGGGCCUGCUGCACUGGCAGCCCUUAAAAUCAGUGGCGGCGCCAUCUGGCUCUGAGCGUAGUAAUUCUUCUCGCUGUGGAGUCCUGGUGGAUGCUUGCCAUCAACCCCCAAUUUUUCUAUGGUUGACCUCGGAUCAGGUAGGGAUACCCGCUGAACUUAAGCAUAUCAAUAGCGGAGGA